CAAGGAUGAAACCUAGAAAGGAACCAGGCUCCUGGAUGCAAGUCUUGGGAGCUGUGCCAGGUGGAUAUUGUAAGAGUUCUGUUAACGUCACAUUUGUUAGUCAAAAUAUUCAGUUGUUCAGAAGACCAGUGGGUCGAAAAUAUUCCUACCCCCUGCAGUAAUUGUAAAAGUCAGUUGGCUUUUCAUACUGAAUUGUUAGGAGGUUCAGAGAAAAAUGAAAAAGCAAAAAUCCUGAAUGUUAAAAUCUGUUAUAUCAUAGUUUACGUAUGUAGGGAACCUGAUAGGUAGAAUAAUGAUAUGAUAAUGGCAGUUGUGUCGAACGUAAAUGAAAUGGAACUUAGUCUAACAGAGGUUAGAUUGAAAUAAUUAGUAAUGAAAAAGGGACAGUAGUGGUAUUCCUUGACCGUGUGAUACUCCAUCCCAACCCACCUACCAAGACAUGGUGACUGAUGUAGAAGAGGGGAUUCGCAGACAAAAACAGCAAUACAACAUGAUGUGCCAGCAGACUAAACAGGAGAUCGCUGACAUCCAUCAAGACAGACUUCUCCAUGACAUGGAACUAAACAGGACCAACCUCUUUAUGCCAGCGAACCAAUAGGGAACUAUUGGAAAGAGUCAGCAGAGGUGAAGAACACAGAGACCAACCCCUCUGAAUUUCCAGACAACAGAAAGACAGCUGAACAGUGAUUACGAGACAUUGGACUGUCUCUCUCUAGAGAAAAUGAUGUCAGUUUAUUGUGCUAGAUCACUUCUAUUUUUUUUACAGUAGAUUUAAUUCUAUUAAAUUCUAUUAAAUCUAUUACAUUUGUUAUAGUAGUUUUUAAGUCAUUCUUUUAUAUGUUUUGCAGUAGUUUUUCUAUUAUUUCCCGCUAGUCAGUUCCCUUUCUCAGCAGCAAAACACAGCAUCUGUCUGUCUAUGUUUGCUUCCAUGUGUGUGUGUGUGUGGGUGUGCGUGUGAGUCUGUGUGUGUGUGUGGGUGGGUUUGUGUGUGCGUGUGUGGGUGGGUGUGUUUGCAUUCAUGCAAAUGUGUGUGGGGCCAGAGCAAAACCAGUGUGUUUUAUGACAGGUUCACACCGUGCCUGAGGGAAGUCAUCAAGCCUCUUUACAGGAACACAUUAUUUCAAAGAGAGUCACAGCGGAGGAGAGGCAGAAAAUGACUGUUUUUCACAGCUGAAACACAGAAUGUGUAAAAACACUGGUUUGUGACAUGUUGUGUUAAGAAUGUGAACUGUCUCUGUCCUGUAUUCUGAGGAGUUCAGCCGUUUUUUUCUGCUUCUUUCCACAGGAUGUGUUGUCUGCCCGGUAAGAAAUCAAUAACUAUGUUUUGACAAGUUUAUACUCCCCAGUGUUUUCUGUUUAUGUUUCAGAAUCCCUAGAACACACAUACACAC
rnacentral:lncRNA from 1 species